rnacentral:rRNA from 1 species
UACGAGGGGGGCAAGCGUUGUUCGGAAUUAUUGGGCGUAAAGGGCGCGUAGGCGGUGCGGUAAGUCACCUGUGAAAUCUCUGGGCUCAACUCAGAGUCUGCAGGCGAAACUGCCGUGCUGGAGUAUGGGAGAGGUGCGUGGAAUUCCCGGUGUAGCGGUGAAAUGCGUAGAUAUGUGGAGGAACACCGAUGGCGAAGGCAGCCCCCUGGGUUAACACUGACGCUCACGCACGAAAGCGUGGGGAGCAAACAGG